UACGAGGGGGGCGAGCGUUGUUCGGAAUUACUGGGCGUAAAGCGUGCGCAGGCGGUUUUGCAAGCCGGAUGUGAAAUCCCCGGGCUCAACCUGGGAAUGGCAUUCGGGACUGCAAGGCUGGAGUGCGGCAGAGGAGACUGGAAUUCCUGGUGUAGCAGUGAAAUGCGUAGAUAUCAGGAGGAAUACCGAUGGCGAAGGCAGGUCUCUGGGCUGACACUGACGCUCAUGCACGAAAGCGUGGGGAGCAAACAGG
rnacentral:rRNA from 1 species